UACGUAGGGUGCAAGCGUUGUCCGGAAUUAUUGGGCGUAAAGAGCUCGUAGGCGGUCUGUUGCGUCGGCUGUGAAAACCCGGGGCUCAACCCCGGGCCUGCAGCCGAUACGGGCAGACUAGAGUUCGGCAGGGGAGACUGGAAUUCCUGGUGUAGCGGUGAAAUGCGCAGAUAUCAGGAGGAACACCGAUGGCGAAGGCAGAUCUCUGGGCCGUAACUGACGCUGAGGAGCGAAAGCGUGGGGAGCGAACAGG
rnacentral:rRNA from 1 species